rnacentral:rRNA from 1 species
CAGUCGCCGCGGGAAUACGUAGGGUGCGAGCGUUAAUCGGAAUUACUGGGCGUAAAGCGUGCGCAGGCGGUUGUGUAAGACAGGUGUGAAAUCCCCGGGCUCAACCUGGGAAUGGCAAUGGAUACUGGCAAGCUAGAGUGUGUCAGAGGAUGGUGGAAUUCCCGGUGUAGCGGUGAAAUGCGUAGAGAUCGGGAGGAACAUCAGUGGCGAAGGCGGCCAUCUGGGACAACACUGACGCUGAGGCACGAAAGCGUGGGGAGCAAACAGGAUUAGAUACCCCCGUAGUCCCUGUCUCUUAUAC